rnacentral:rRNA from 1 species
CAAGUGGUAGGAGAGCGUUCUAUUUGCGCCGAAGGUAUACCGGUAAGGAGUGCUGGAGCGAAUAGAAGUGAGCAUGCAGGCAUGAGUAGCGAUAAUUAAUGUGAGAAUCAUUAACGCCGUAAACCCAAGGUUUCCUACGCGAUGCUCGUCAUCGUAGGGUUAGUCGGGUCCUAAGUCGAGUCCGAAAGGGGUAGACGAUGGCAAAUUGGUUAAUAUUCCAAUACCAACAUUAGUGUGCGAUGGAAGGACGCUUAGGGCUAAGGGGGCUAGCGGAUGGAAGUGCUAGUCUAAGGUCGUAGGAGGUUAUACAGGCAAAUCCGUAUAACAUACUCCGAGAACUGAAAGGCUUUUUGAAGUCUUCGGAUGGAUAGAAGAACCCCUGAUGCCAUCGAGCCAAGAAAAGUUUCUAAGUUUAGCUAAUGUUGCCCGUACCGUAAACCGACACAGGUGGGUGGGAUGAGUAUUCUAAGGCGCGUGGAAGAACUCUCUUUAAGGAACUCUGCAAAAUAGCACCGUAUCUUCGGUAUAAGGUGUGGUUCGCUUCGUAUUAGGAUUUACUCCGAAAGCGAAGAAACUUACAACAAAGAGUCCCUCCCGACUGUUUACCAAAAACACAGCACUCUGCUAACUCGUAAGAGGAUGUAUAGGGUGUGACGCCUGCCCGGUGCUCGAAGGUUAAUUGAUGGGGUUAGCAUUAGCGAAGCUCUUGAUCGAAGCCCGAGUAAACGGCGGCCGUAACUAUAACGGUCCUAAGGUAGCGAAAUUCCUUGUCGGUUAAAUACCGACCUGCAUGAAUGGCGUAACGAGAUGGGAGCUGUCUCAAAGAGGGAUCCAGUGAAAUUGUAGUGGAGGUGAAAAUUCCUCCUACCCGCGGCAAGACGGAAAGACCCCGUGGACCUUUACUACAGCUUGACACUGCUAUUUGGAUAAGAAUGUGCAGGAUAGGUGGGAGGCUUUGAGUAUAUGACGCCAGUUGUAUAUGAGCCAUUGUUGAGAUACCACUCUUUCUUAUUUGGGUAGCUAACCAGCUUGAGUUAUCCUCAAGUGGGACAAUGUCUGGUGGGUAGUUUGACUGGGGCGGUCGCCUCCCAAAUAAUAACGGAGGCUUACAAAGGUUGGCUCAGAACGGUUGGAAAUCGUUCGUAGAGUAUAAAGGUAUAAGCCAGCUUAACUGCAAGACAUACAAGUCAAGCAGAGACGAAAGUCGGUCUUAGUGAUCCGGUGGUUCUGUGUGGAAGGGCCAUCGCUCAAAGGAUAAAAGGUACCCCGGGGAUAACAGGCUGAUCUCCCCCAAGAGCUCACAUCGACGGGGAGGUUUGGCACCUCGAUGUCGGCUCAUCGCAUCCUGGGGCUGGAGCAGGUCCCAAGGGUAUGGCUGUUCGCCAUUUAAAGCGGUACGCGAGCUGGGUUCAGAACGUCGUGAGACAGUUCGGUCCCUAUCUGCCGUGGGCGUAAGAAGAUUGAAGAGAUUUGACCCUAGUACGAGAGGACCGGGUUGAACAAACCACUGGUGUAGCUGUUGUUCUGCCAAGAGCAUCGCAGCGUAGCUAAGUUUGGAAAGGAUAAACGCUGAAAGCAUCUAAGCGUGAAGCCAACUCUAAGAUGAAUCUUCUCUAAGCUCUCUAGAAGACUACUAGUUUGAUAGGCUGGGUGUGUAAUGGAUGAAAGUCCUUUAGCUGACCAGUACUAAUAGAGCGUUUGGCUUAUCUUUAAUAAAGCAU